rnacentral:rRNA from 1 species
GACGAACGCUGGCGGCGUGCUUAACACAUGCAAGUCGAACGAUGAACCAGGGCUUGCCCUGGGGAUUAGUGGCGAACGGGUGAGUAACACGUGGGCAACCUGCCCCAGACACCGGGAUAACCUCUCGAAAGAGUGGCUAAUACCGGAUACGACCACUUUGGGCAUCCAACGGUGGUGGAAAGGAUUCUGGUCUGGGAUGGGCCCGCGGCCUAUCAGCUUGUUGGUGGGGUAAUGGCCUACCAAGGCGACGAAGGGUAGCCGGCCUGAGAGGGCGACCGGCCACACUGGGACUGAGACACGGCCCAGACUCCUACGGGAGGCAGCAGUGGGGAAUAUUGCGCAAUGGGCGAAAGCCUGACGCAGCGACGCCGCGUGAGGGACGAAGGUCUGCGGAUUGUAAACCUCUUUCAGCAGGGACGAAGCGAAAGUGACUGUACCUGCAGAAGAAGCACCGGCUAACUACGUGCCAGCCGCCGCCGUAA